rnacentral:rRNA from 1 species
GGAGUCUGGUCCGUGUCUCAGUACCAGUGUGGGGGACCUUCCUCUCAGAACCCCUAAGGAUCGAUGGCACGGUGGGCCGUUACCCCGCCGUCUACCUAAUCCCACGCAUCCCCAUCCAUGACCGAUGAAUCUUUGCUGCAAUUCUGAUGCCAUCGUCGCAGAACAUCAGGUAUUAGGCUCCCUUUCGGAAGGUUAUCCCUGACCCAUGGGCAGGUUGGAUACGCGUUACUCACCCGUGCGCCGGUCGUCAUCUGGCUGAGCAAGCUCCGCCAAUGUUACCCCUCCGACUUGCAUGUGUUAAGCCUGUAGCUAGCGUUCAUC